GUCUCUUUGGCGCAAUUGGUUAGAGCGUUCGACUGUUAACCGAAAGGUUAGUGGUGCGAUCCCACCCAGGGUCG